rnacentral:lncRNA from 1 species
GUUUAAAUCAAUAAUUGCUUAGAAAUAAAAUUUGAUUAUGAAAAUUGUAUCUGUCCCUGUCAUUUUUCCAAAGCCGAAAGUCUCGUCGUAAGUAAACAUUACAUACAGAAUAUUAGCCCGAGAUAUUCAGCACACCACUCGAAACCCAACCAAUAUUGGAAAAGGUUACAUUUUUACCUAAGCAAUAUAUGAAAAGGUAUACAUUUUUAAGAUCUAAAUUAUAUGAUAUUAAGGGUGGGGUAACAUAAUCCCAGCGGCACCCCUAUCAGUUAAGUAUUGAAGUUGCCCCCGAGCUGCAUUCAGUACGGUAGCUGGGGUGUCUAAUUGUUCGACGAUAGAUUAUUCGUAAACUUCUGUAAAAGAUGUUGUCACAUACCGUAAUAUUGACAUAUCUUAACUGGAUACGAUCCGGACAUUAUUGUUAUGUAUUAUGAUACUCUCCUGUAUAGAAGGUUAAUAAAUAUCUUGUUAUUGUCAACAUGUCUUCCUCAUACUUAUCUAACAUGGUGUCAGACUAAACCAUCGACCAUCAUAAUGAAAAUAAGCCAUCCGUAGAUGAAAGUAAUUUUAAAGUUGCAUGAACAAUCCAGCUUCCUAAAUUUAUCAUAAUCAUGGAUGCACUAUCAGGAUAUCAUCCUAACAUGGACUGGGAAGCGACAGACCUAAUGACCGCUUGGAAAUCUUUCCGACAACAUACAUAAUUUUGGUUCGCGGGACCUCUAGAUGAAACUGCCGAAUCACAAGUAACUAUCUAAUGAUAUGGAUAGGCAACAAAGGUAGGAACAUAUAUUCAAACUGAGAUCUCUCGGAAGAUGACAAAAAGAAACUCGAAGUGUACUAUCAGAUCUUCGAAAAACACGUCCGCCCUAAAUCAAACAAGAUCUAUUCACGAUACAAAUUUUUAAGUCGUGUACAAAGAGACAACUGCAAAUGUUUGCACCUGUCCUAAGUCAGGAAUCUGAUGUACAGUAGUUGUCGUUUGUUUAUGUAAUUUAUACGUGUUUAUCGUUUCUGGUUUUUUAAUACAGAUUAGACCGUUGGUUUUCCCGUUUGAAUGGAUUUACACUUGUAAUUUUAGGGCCCUUUAUAGCUUGUUGUUCGGUGUGAGCCAAGGCUCCGUGUUGAAGGCCAUACCUUGACCUAUAAUGGUUAACUUUUAUAAAUUGUUAUUUGGAUGAAGAGUUGUCUCAUUUGCACUCAUACCACAUCUUCCUAUACCUAUUGACACUUUCGAAGAAUACCUCAUCGACCUUAACAUAUUGGUAAAAGAUUGUGGAUAUGCGACGCCGGAGGAAAUGGUCCGUGAUGAAAUUGUUUUUGGAACUAAAGACCACAAAGUGAUGAAUGAAGAAUGAAGGGUCCAAACUCUCGUUAGAAAAGACACAACUUAAAACUAUGGAAGGCGAAGAUAAAAAAAAUCAACAUCUUAAACAAACAAGGAUCAAGAUCACAUCAGGUAAAAAGUAUGGCAAGGAAUACAAACCACAAAGGGGACCACCUCAAAUUACAAGGGGCAAUCACCCAAUUUAGCAAACAAAUGUAAAAACUGUGGAGGUAAACAUGAGCGUAGAAAAUGUCCUGCAUUUGUGAAACAGUGCAACAAAUGCCAUAAAUAUAACCACUUGUUGUCCGUAUGUCUGUCAUCAAGCAAAUCAUCAAAGAAAAUGCACACUUAAGACAUAUGCAGUGAAUCUGAUAAUGAUGUAUUUUUUGUUGCUACAAUUGAUGAUCAAGAAUUGAAUACCGAUGAAUGGACCGAAACAAUCACCGUCAACGAGCGUACUAGUUAACUUUC